ACACAUGCAAGUCGAGCGAUUCUCUUCGGAGAAGAGCGGCGGACGGGUGAGUAACGCGUGGGUAACCUGCCCUGUACACACGGAUAACAUACCGAAAGGUAUGCUAAUACGGGAUAACAUAAGAAAUUCGCAUGUUUUUCUUAUCAAAGCUCCGGCGGUACAGGAUGGACCCGCGUCUGAUUAGCUAGUUGGUGAGGUAAUGGCUCACCAAGGCGACGAUCAGUAGCCGACCUGAGAGGGUGAUCGGCCACAUUGGAACUGAGACACGGUCCAAACUCCUACGGGAGGCAGCAGUGGGGAAUAUUGCACAAUGGGCGAAAGCCUGAUGCAGCAACGCCGCGUGAGCGAUGAAGGCCUUCGGGUCGUAAAGCUCUGUCCUCAAGGAAGAUAAUGACGGUACUUGAGGAGGAAGCCCCGGCUAACUACGUGCCAGCAGCCGCGGUAAUACGUAGGGGGCUAGCGUUAUCCGGAUUUACUGGGCGUAAAGGGUGCGUAGGCGGUCUUUUAAGUCAGGAGUGAAAGGCUACGGCUCAACCGUAGUAAGCUCUUGAAACUGGAGGACUUGAGUGCAGGAGAGGAGAGUGGAAUUCCUAGUGUAGCGGUGAAAUGCGUAGAUAUUAGGAGGAACACCAGUAGCGAAGGCGGCUCUCUGGACUGUAACUGACGCUGAGGCACGAAAGCGUGGGGAGCAAACAGGAUUAGAUACCCUGGUAGUCCACGCCGUAAACGAUGAGUACUAGCUGUCGGAGGUUACCCCCUUCGGUGGCGCAGCUAACGCAUUAAGUACUCCGCCUGGGG
rnacentral:rRNA from 1 species